CCGACCAUGUCGGCGCCGACAGAUGUUUACAUGCGUUGUUCUAACUACCGUAAUUCCUAGACCAUUUGUGCUAUAAAAAUCAUUCAAACAGUUCCUGAAAGUAGAGAGAAUGGCCUUUGCACUCAUAUAAGGCUUAUUACAGUAGGCUGCUGCAAUCGCGAGAUACGACAGGUCAAACACAGACGAGACUUUACUUUGCUGAGUCACACAGCGCAACAGCGGAAAAGAGCAGAAAGAGGACAAAAGAGGACAAAAGAGGACGAAACGAGUGGACUUUUGGAGAACUUUUUCAACAAUAAGAUCUUAUUUGUGAGAGAAAAUGUCAAGAAAAUCAUCUAGGGUUAUAAAAACCCCCAAAAGGUUGAUUGAGGACGAUCGUGACCACAAUGGCGCAUUUUCAUCCGAAGCAGAGUAAGUAAUAAGUUGUGUACAAGCAAUAUGUCUUAGUAAACCUACAGUGGAUGUUUAUAUGGCUAAAAGUGAAAUUUUAUGUCUUUAUUACUUUUAGCAUUCCUUCUGGUGAUGGGCCACCCACACAGAGCACUCCCUGGCAGUGUGAGGAGUGCAAUGUGGGCCUGUGUCUGCAGCUACAGAGGAACUGCUUCAGGGAGUACCACAAAGGCCAAAAAACGCCUGGACUUUCUUAAAGAAAAUGGAUUAUAAAACAAAAACUUAAAGUCCAAGGCUCCCAAACUUUCUGGGGCAGAUGUAUAAUAGUUGAACUUUCACAUUUGACAUGUGUAACCUUUUGUCUAAUGGCAUUCAGAGUUUCUCAUUUCAUAAAAACCUUGAAAAUCUA